rnacentral:rRNA from 1 species
ACCAGACUCCUACGGGAGGCAGCAGUGGGGGAUAUUGCACAAUGGGGGAAACCCUGAUGCAGCGACGCCGCGUGGGUGAAGAAGCGCCUCGGCGCGUAAAGCCCUGUCAGCAGGGAAGAAAAUGACGGUACCUGAAGAAGAAGCCCCGGCUAACUACGUGCCGGCAGCCGCGGUAAUACGUAGGGGGCCAGCGUUAUCCGGAUUUACUGGGUGUAAAGGGGGCGCAGACGGCGAUGCAAGCCAGGAGUGAAAGCCCGGGGCCCAACCCCGGGACUGCUCUUGGAACUGCGUGGCUGGGGUGCAGGAGGGGCAGGCGGAAUUCCUAGUGUAGCGGUGAAAUGCGUAGAUAUUAGGAGGAACACCAGUGGCGAAGGCGGCCUGCUGGACGGUGUACUGACGCUGAGGCUCGAAAGCGUGGGGAGCAAACAGGAUUAGAUACCCUUGUA